AGAGUUUGAUCNUGGCUCAGAACGUACGCUGGCGGCACGCCUAACACAUGCAAGUCGAACGAAGUAGCAAUACUUAGUGGCAGACGGGUGAGUAACAUGUGGGUAUCUACCCUUUGGCCUGGAAUAACACGAGGAAACUUGUGCUAAUACCGGAUAAGUCUUUACGGAGAAAGCUUUAUGCACCAUUGGAUGAGCCCGCACUUGAUUAGUUUGUUGGUAGGGUAAUGGCCUACCAAGACUAUGAUCAAUAGCUGAUUUGAGAGGAUGAUCAGCCACAUUGGGGCUGAGACACGGCCCAAACUCCUACGGGAGGCAGCAGUGGGGAAUCUUGCACAAUGGAGGAAACUCUGAUGCAGCGAUGCCGCGUGAGUGAAGAAGGCCCUUGGGUUGUAAAGCUCUUUCGUCGGGGAAGAAAAUGACUGUACCCGAAUAAGAAGGUCCGGCUAACUUCGUGCCAGCAGCCGCGGUAAUACGAAGGGACCUAGCGUAGUUCGGAAUUACUGGGCUUAAAGAGUUCGUAGGUGGUUGAAAAAGUUGGUGGUGAAAUCCCAGAGCUUAACUCUGGAACUGCCAUCAAAACUUUUCAGCUANAGUAUGAUAGAGGAAAGCAGAAUUUCUAGUGUAGAGGUGAAAUUCGUAGAUAUUAGAAAGAAUACCAAUUGCGAAGGCANCUUUCUGGAUCAUUACUGACNCUGAGGAACGAAAGCAUGGGUAGCGAAGAGGAUUAGAUACCCUCGUAGUCCAUGCCGUAAACGAUGUGUGUAGACGUUGGAAAUUUAUUUUCAGUGUCNCAGGAAACCGAUAAACACACCGCCUGGGGAGUACGACCGCAAGGUUAAACUNAAAUGAAUUGACGGGGACCCGCACAAGUAG
rnacentral:rRNA from 1 species